GUGCCAGCAGCCGCGGUAAUACGGAGGAUCCGAGCGUUAUCCGGAUUUAUUGGGUUUAAAGGGUGCGUAGGCGGAAUGGUAAGUCAGAGGUGAAAUCCUGCAGCUCAACUGUAGAAUAGCCUUUGAAACUGUCAUUCUUGAGUACAUUUGAGGUAGGCGGAAUGUGGUGUGUAGCGGUGAAAUGCAUAGAUAUACCACAGAACACCGAUUGCGAAGGCAGCUUACUAAACUGUAACUGACGCUGAGGCACGAAAGCGUGGGUAUCAAACAGGAUUAGAUACCCCGGUAGUCC
rnacentral:rRNA from 1 species